rnacentral:rRNA from 1 species
AGAGUUUGAUCAUGGCUCAGACACGCUGGCGGCGUGCUUAACACAUGCAAGUCGACGAUGAACCGGAGCUUGCCCCGGGGAUUAGUGGCGAACGGGUGAGUAACACGUGGGCAACCUGCCCCAGACAUCGGGAUAACCAUUCGAAAGGAUGGCUAAUACCGGAUAUGACCACUUCGGGCAUCCGAUGGUGGUGGAAAGGAUUCUGGUCUGGGAUGGGCCCGCGGCCUAUCAGCUAGUUGGUGGGGUAAUGGCCUACCAAGGCGACGACGGGUAGCCGGCCUGAGAGGGCGACCGGCCACACUGGGACUGAGACACGGCCCAGACUCCUACGGGAGGCAGCAGUGGGGAAUAUUGCGCAAUGGGCGAAAGCCUGACGCAGCGACGCCGCGUGAGGGACGAAGGUCUUCGGAUUGUAAACCUCUUUCAGCAGGGACGAAGCGAAAGUGACUGUACCUGCAGAAGAAGCACCGGCUAACUACGUG